rnacentral:rRNA from 1 species
AGCGAACGCUGGCGGCAGGCCUAACACAUGCAAGUCGAACGCACCUUCGGGUGAGUGGCGGACGGGUGAGUAACACGUGGGAACGUACCUUUUGGUUCGGAACAACACAGGGAAACUUGUGCUAAUACCGGAUGAGCCCUAUGGGGGAAAGAUUUAUCGCCGAAAGAGCGGCCCGCGUUAGAUUAGCUAGUUGGUGGGGUAAAGGCCCACCAAGGCUCCGAUCUAUAGCUGGUCUGAGAGGANGAUCAGCCACACUGGGACUGAGACACGGCCCAGACUCCUACGGGAGGCAGCAGUGGGGAAUCUUGCGCAAUGGGCGAAAGCCUGGCCCAGCAACGCCGCGUGGGUGACGAAGGCCUUCGGUUGUU